rnacentral:rRNA from 1 species
GACGAACGCUGGCGGCGUGCUUAACACAUGCAAGUCGAGCGGAGCGGCGAACGGGUGAGUAACGCGUGAGUAACUGCCCCCCUCUCUGGGAUCACAGUUGGAAACGGCUGCUAAUACCGGAUAGUGGGGGAUGACUCGCGUCCUAUCAGCUUGUUGGUGGGGUAGUGGCCUACCAAGGCGACGACGGGUAGCCGGCCUGGGAGGGCGACCGGCCACAUGGGGCUGAGAUACGGCGCAGUAGCGUACGGGAGGCAGCGGGGGGGAAUAUUGCACAAUGGGGGAAACGCUGAUGAAGCGACGCCGCGUGCGGGAUGACGGCCUUCGGGUUGUAAACCGCGUUCAGCCAUGACGCGGUAGUGGAAGAAGAAGCACCGGCUAACUACGUGCCAGCAGCCGCGGUAAUAC